rnacentral:rRNA from 1 species
UACAUAGGGGGCAAGCGUUAUCCGGAAUUAUUGGGUGUAAAGGGUGCGUAGACGGAGAAACAAGUUGGUUGUGGAAUCCCUCGGCUCAACCGAGGAACUGCAACCAAAACUAUUUCCCUUGAGUGUCGGAGAGGAAAGUGGAAUUCCUAGUGUAGCGGUGAAAUGCGUAGAUAUUAGGAGGAACACCAGUGGCGAAGGCGACUUUCUGGACGAUAACUGACGUUGAGGCACGAAAGUGUGGGGAGCAGACAGG